UACGUAGGGCGCAAGCGUUUAUCCGGAAUUAUUGGGCGUAAAGAGCUCGUAGGCGGUUUGUCGCGUCUGCCGUGAAAGUCCGGGGCUCAACUCCGGAUCUGCGGUGGGUACGGGGCAGACUAGAGUGAUGUAGGGGAGACUGGAAUUCCUGGUGUAGCGGUGAAAUGCGCAGAUAUCAGGAGGAACACCGAUGGCGAAGGCAGGUCUCUGGGCAUUAACUGACGCUGAGGAGCGAAAAGCUGGGGGAGCGAACAGG
rnacentral:rRNA from 1 species